AUUGAACGCUGGCGGCAGGCCUAACACAUGCAAGUCGAACGAGUGGCGGACGGGUGAGUAAUGUCUGGGAAACUGCCCGAUGGAGGGGGAUAACUACUGGAAACGGUAGCUAAUACCGCAUACCAUCGGAUGUGCCCAGAUGGGAUUGGCUAGUAGGUGGGGGAACGGCUCACCUAGGCGACGAUCCCUAGCUGGUCGGAGAGGAUGACCAGCCACACUGGAACUGAGACACGGUCCAGAGUCCUACGGGAGGAAGCAGUGGGGAAUAUUGCACAAGGGGCGCAAGCCGGAUGCAGCCAUGCCUCGUGGAUGAAGAAGGCCUUCGGGUUGUAAAGUACUUUCAGCGAGGAGGCGUUACUCGCAGAAGAAGCACCGGCUAACGCCGUGCCAGCAGCCGCGGUAAUAC
rnacentral:rRNA from 1 species